rnacentral:lncRNA from 1 species
UUGAGUCGCUUGGCACUCCUUUUUGAAUAGCUUCUUUACCACAGUGGUUGAUUCCCACGUUUCUUAGUGUGGCUUUUGAAGUGGUUUUGUACCCCUUGACAUCUGGUGUGGUUUUGUGCCACUUGAGUCUUCACUUGACGAUUUGAGAGUUAAUGGGCAUUUUUGGAAUUUAAGCCCAUAAUCCAUCAUUUGCGGACUUGAGACUUUGUGUUUUGGGCUCUUAGACUUGUUGCAUAACCUUUGUGACUUUGUACAACAAACCCACGAAGCCCA